GGCUGGUCCAAUAGCAGAGAGUUAUCUUUUUUUUGUUUUUCUUUUUUUAAGUAGUAAGUUAUCUUAAUUGAUUGUUUAUAGUCACAGAUCAAACUCCUUGUUCUACUCUCCCUCUUCUCUACUGUACCUGACUAAUCUUUU
rnacentral:sRNA from 1 species